GGAGAGAUGGCUCAGUGGUUAAGAGCACUGUCUGCUCUUUCAGAGGUCCUGAGUUCAAUUCCCAGCUUCUACA
rnacentral:tRNA from 1 species